rnacentral:rRNA from 1 species
UACGUAGGGGGCGAGCGUUGUCCGGAAUCAUUGGGCGUAAGGCGCGUGUAGGCGGCUCGGUAAGUCCGGUGUGAAACCUUGGGGCUCAACCCCAAGCCUGCACUGGAUACUGUCGAGCUCGAGUCCGGGAGGGGAGAGCGGAAUUCCUAGUGUAGCGGUGAAAUGCGCAGAUAUUAGGAAGAACACCGGUGGCGAAGGCGGCUCUCUGGAACGGUACUGACGCUGAGACGCGAAAGCGUGGGGAGCGAACAGG